rnacentral:rRNA from 1 species
GGGUCAGUAGGUUGGUCGUGCCACCGGUACGUACUGGUCUCACUGAUUCCUCCUUCCUGAAGAACCGUAAUGCCAUUAAUUUGGUGUUGCGGGGAAGCAGGACUGUUACUUUGAAAAAAUUAGAGUGUUUAAAGCAAGCUAACGCUCGAAUACAUUAGCAUGGAAUAAUGAAAUAGGACGAUCGAUCCUAUUUUGUUGGUUUCUAGGAUUGACGUA